UACAGAGGUCUCAAGCGUUGUUCGGAUUCAUUGGGCGUAAAGGGUGCGUAGGCGGCGGGGUAAGUCUGAUGUGAAAUCCCGGGGCUCAACCCCGGAACUGCAUUGGAUACUGCCUUGCUUGAGUACUGGAGAGGAGACUGGAAUUUACGGUGUAGCAGUGAAAUGCGUAGAUAUCGUAAGGAAGACCAGUGGCGAAGGCGAGUCUCUGGACAGUUACUGACGCUGAGGCACGAAGGCCAGGGGAGCAAACGGG
rnacentral:rRNA from 1 species